rnacentral:rRNA from 1 species
CGUAGGUGUUUGAAGUUAAAAAGUGUAACAAGGUUUCCGUAGGUGAACCUGCGGAAGGAUCAUUA